rnacentral:rRNA from 1 species
CUGCAGGCUGCAACUCGCCUGCACGAAGUCGGAAUUGCUAGUAAUCGUAGGUCAGCAUACUACGGUGAAUACGUUCCCGGGCCUUGUACACACCGCCCGUCACACCAUGAGAGUUGGAAAUACCCGAAGCCUGUGAGCUAACAAACGAGGCAGCAGUCGAAGGUAGAGCCAAUGAUUGGGGUGAAGUCGUAACAAGGUAAC